rnacentral:lncRNA from 1 species
CCUCGCCGCGCCUGAUUGGAACCCGCGCUGAGCGCGGCGCGCCGGCCCCGGGAAGGCCCCCCCGUUACCGUGGCGACGGGGCUGCCCCGCGCCGCGCCUGACCCCGGCCCCCGUCGCGGGUUUCUCCCGGUCGGGACAUGGAAUAUCGCGACAUGGCGACACGAGCCCCGGGGCGCCGCCGUGAAACCACAAAGAUCGCCCGGAGGCCUCAAAGUCGCGUUUAUUCAUCAACAAACGGGGCGGAAAUGGGGGAAAACGGGGCAGGGGCGCUGGGAUGGACUGGGAGCGCUGGGAUGGUUCAACUGGGAUGUACUGGGAGCACUGGGAUGGUUGAACUGGGCUGGACUGGGAGCACUGGAAUGGCUGAACUGGGAGCACUGGGAUGGCUGAACUGGGAGCACUGGGAUGGCUGA